rnacentral:rRNA from 1 species
AGAGUUUGAUCAUGGCUCAGAUUGAACGCUGGCGGCAGGCCUAACACAUGCAAGUCGAGCGGAAACGAGUUAUCUGAACCUUCGGGGGACGAUAACGGCGUCGAGCGGCGGACGGGUGAGUAAUGCCUAGGAAAUUGCCCUGAUGUGGGGGAUAACCAUUGGAAACGAUGGCUAAUACCGCAUAAUGCCUACGGGCCAAAGAGGGGGACCUUCGGGCCUCUCGCGUCAGGAUAUGCCUAGGUGGGAUUAGCUAGUUGGUGAGGUAAUGGCUCACCAAGGCGACGAUCCCUAGCUGGUCUGAGAGGAUGAUCAGCCACACUGGAACUGAGACACGGUCCAGACUCCUACGGGAGGCAGCAGUGGGGAAUAUUGCACAAUGGGCGCAAGCCUGAUGCAGCCAUGCCGCGUGUGUGAAGAAGGCCUUCGGGUUGUAAAGCACUUUCAGUCGUGAGGAAGGUAGUGUAGUUAAUAGCUGCAUUAUUUGACGUUAGCGACAGAAGAAGCACCGGCUAACUCCGUGCCAGCAGCCGCGGUAAU